GGGAACGGGAGUUGCGCGCCAGAGAGCCGGAGGGGCCGCGGAACUCCUCCUCGCCGGUCCUCCUGGGCCCUGGGAUCAGCUCUGCACAAAUAUUGGGAUUUGAUGGGAGUUGGGCGGAGUCAGAACCCCAGGAGAAGAAGGGGUGAAGAACGGUAUCUGUUCUGUGUGGCGCUCCAUUGAGAAGGAGCCCCGGGGCUUUUGUGAGGUCAGCACUGAGAGAGGCGACGGUGACAGUGGCACACCGCUCUCCCCGAGCACCGGCACACACCGCUUCUCACCAACUCUUUCACCACACACACACCAGCACAGAACUGACCGAUGGAAAAAUGUGUAGCAUAAAGGUUUAAUUCAGUCUGAAUUUCAAUUAUAUUGGCAAUAAGAUUUUUUAUCAUGACAUUUUAUCAAUAUUAUCAUAUAGACCUAUUUGUUUAUUGGCAGUAUGUUUAAUAAUUCAGUUUUAGUGUACAUAUCAGUAUAUUUGUCCAUUUUGUACAAUGUUGUUAAUUAAUUAUUACAGUAUUAAUCAAAACAUAAUAAUUACAAAUUGUAUUAAUUAGUAGUAAUUCAGCCGGUGGUACAGAACAUAAAUGUGAUUUUAAAUUUAUAUUUAACGGACAUGCAAUUAUAAUUAUUUCUAUAUUUAUAAAACAUUAAUAAAAAGGUCAGUGAAUCAUAUAAGUUAAAUCUGUAAUGGUCAAUGCAAUUCCACAGUAAAACCUGUGAAUAACAGGCACGGUUAUGAAAUCAGCAGAUCCCAUUUUUGAAGGUAUAAUCAUUUCUAUCUGAUAAUGCUGCCUCAUUUCUCCUGCGCCGCGCGCCACGUCUUAAAGAGGUGACAAUCUUGUUAAGAGGAUUUGGAAGCUAAUGUGUCUCUCUCAGCCGGCCAUCCAGAUUUUAUUUAUUUUUUAAUAAUCAAAGGAAGGGAUCUUGAUCGAGGUGUGGUGGGUAUUAAAAGCACUCAUUUUUUGAGGGUGGGUUUAUCUAUAAUCAAUUCUUUCCCCAGGGACAC
ensembl:lncRNA